rnacentral:rRNA from 1 species
GACAGAGGUGCCAAGCGUUAGGCGGAAUCACUGGGCUUAAAGCGUGUGUAGGUGGAUGUCUAAGUACCUUGUGAAAUCCCAUGGCUCAACCAUGGAACUGCUCGGUAUACUGGACGUCUUGAGCCACUUAGGGGCUACCGGAACAAAUGGUGGAGCGGUGAAAUGCGUAGAUAUCAUUUGGAACGCAAUGGUGAAAACAGGUAGCUGGGAGUGUGCUGACACUGAGACACGAAAGCCAGGGGAGCGAACGGG